UAGAGUUUGAUCCUGGCUCAGGACGAACGCUGGCGGCGUGCCUAAUACAUGCAAGUGGAACGCACGUACCUUCACCGGAGCUUGCUCCACAGAAGGUAAGUGAGUCGCGAACGGGUGAGUAACGCGUAGGUAACCUGCCUGGUAGCGGGGGAUAACUGUUGGAAACGAUAGCUAAUACCGCAUAAUAGUGAUUGACUCAUGUUAAUGACUUGAAAGGGGCAAUGGCNCCACUAUCAGAUGGACCUGCGUUGUAUUAGCUAGUUGGUAGGGUAAAGGCCUACCAAGGCUGCGAUACAUAGCCGACCUGAGAGGGUGAACGGCCACACUGGGACUGAGACACGGCCCAGACUCCUACGGGAGGCAGCAGUAGGGAAUCUUCGGCAAUGGGGGGAACCCUGACCGAGCAACGCCGCGUGAGUGAAGAAGGUUUUCGGAUCGUAAAGCUCUGUUGUAAGAGAAGAACGUUGAGUAGAGUGGAAAGCUACGCAAGUGACGGUAUCUUACCAGAAAGGGACGGCUAACUACGUGCCAGCAGCCGCGGUAAUACGUAGGUCCCGAGCGUUGUCCGGAUUUAUUGGGCGUAAAGCGAGCGCAGGCGGUUUAGUAAGUCUGAAGUUAAAGGCAUUGGCUCAACCAAUGUUUGCUUUGGAAACUGUUAAACUUGAGUGCAGAAGGGGAGAGUGGAAUUCCAUGUGUAGCGGUGAAAUGCGUAGAUAUAUGGAGGAACACCGGUGGCGAAAGCGGCUCUCUGGUCUGUAACUGACGCUGAGGCUCGAAAGCGUGGGUAGCGAACAGGAUUAGAUACCCUGGUAGUCCACGCCGUAAACGCUGAGUGCUAGGUGUUGGGUCCUUUCCGGGACUCAGUGCCGGAGCUAACGCAUUAAGCACUCCGCCUGGGGAGUACGACCGCAAGGUUGAAACUCAAAGGAAUUGACGGGGGCCCGCACAAGCGGUGGAGCAUGUGGUUUAAUUCGAAGCAACGCGAAGAACCUUACCAGGUCUUGACAUCCCGAUGCCAUCCCUAGAGAUAGGGAGUUACUUCGGUACAUUGGAGACAGGUGGUGCAUGGUUGUCGUCAGCUCGUGUCGUGAGAUGUUGGGUUAAGUCCCGCAACGAGCGCAACCCUUAUUGUUAGUUGCCAUCAUUAAGUUGGGCACUCUAGCGAGACUGCCGGUAAUAAACCGGAGGAAGGUGGGGAUGACGUCAAAUCAUCAUGCCCCUUAUGACCUGGGCUACACACGUGCUACAAUGGUUGGUACAACGAGUCGCAAGCCGGUGACGGCAAGCUAAUCUCUGAAAGCCAAUCUCAGUUCGGAUUGGAGGCUGCAACUCGCCUCCAUGAAGUCGGAAUCGCUAGUAAUCGCGGAUCAGCACGCCGCGGUGAAUACGUUCCCGGGCCUUGUACACACCGCCCGUCACACCACGAGAGUUUGUAACACCCAAAGUCGGUGAGGUAACCUUUAAGGAGCCAGCCGCCUAAGGUGGGACGGAUGAUUGGGGUGAAGUCGUAACAAGGUAGCCGUAUCGGAAGGUGCGGCUGGAUCACCUCCUUUA
rnacentral:rRNA from 1 species